GUCAAUGUGCAGUCUAAACAUGUGACAGAUGCAGAGAAAACUUCAAAGAUGCCAUUACAAAUGCCUGUGGAGAUAUUUAAGGAGCCAGAUGCUACUGUUUCAUGUCUUCCGCAGCUCUGAAUGUGUCCUGUGAUCACCUUCCAAAGAGGAGGUGUGGUUCGAUAUGAACAAAAAAGUAUUGAGUUGUCUUAUAAAGAUAAAUAUGAGAAACUUGGGGAGAACCAAAAAUAAAGAUCAGAAUAAUAUAGAGUCAUAAAAACAUAACUUAUGGAGCUUCAAAAUAAGAAGGUAUGUUCUUUUACUUGAAAAACAUUUUAUUGUAUUAGAGGAUGAUUAAA
rnacentral:lncRNA from 1 species